rfam:Oryza sativa Japonica Group DNA, chromosome 5, cultivar: Nipponbare, complete sequence.
AUCCCAUGAUGAGGACAGGCGGCAACGUACUCUUGCAGCCUUUCCCAGGAUUCCGGAAUGGACUCGUCCCUUCUGCUAGAAGCUUGAAAUUCUCCCACGAAGGGC